UAGAUGCGCUAUGAGGAGCGAAUCACAUGUUUCGCGAGCUUUCAUAUGACUGAACACGAUUAAGUUGCGAUAAGACGCAGCUGUAUACUUUCGAGUGCCAGUUUUUUCCUUCGAGAUGAAUCACUUGUGACCAUCUCUUUGGUUAUUACGUAGACGUAGCGGUGAUGACUAAUCAUUAUCAUUGCCUAAAUAAGCGUAAUAUACGGACCUUCGUGUCCACUUUUUCUAUUCUGCUAUUGCAAAAUGGACUCUUCUGGCCUCGGUGGUGUACGAUUACCCACUGAAUUUAA
rnacentral:misc_RNA from 1 species